AAAAUUUUGGAACGUUUCACGAAUUUGCGUGUCAUCCUUGCGCAGGUGCCAUGCUAAUCUUCUCUGUAUUGUUGUAUUGUUCCAAUUUUAGUAUAUGUUCAGGAAUGAAC
rnacentral:snRNA from 1 species